GACAACAGAGCAGAUCCAAGAACCGGAGAACCGUGCCAUAUCCAAGAGGAACCUUUUCAUUCAUAUUCCACUGCAGUAACUCUUCCGUCUCGGGACCACUGAACCGUUCACGUCAUAUUUCCACGUAAACGCUAGAACGCCGGUUCUGUCUCGCGUCCAUACUUCACAGAAGACGCGGAACGGCACGGACGACAGAGAACCCCGAGGACCAUGAGAAGAUCGUGUGACGAACGGACGAACUCUCUCCGCGUCCGUGAUUCACAUCUCUCUCGGACUGGAUGACGGAGAACUCAGCGAGGUCUGUGUAGACCCCGAGACGUCAUCCGACAAGGAAAAUAAAACACAAAGAGCAAGCCUGGUGCGCUUUGUGUUCGUGUUACAUCGAGCGCCUUUCACCAGCUUGGGGGCGAAACAGAGAGUCCACUGUGGCUCCAGAACGCAGUGCAUUAAUAAACACUCUGUGGUGUCGGUCAUGCCAUGAAGCAACAAGCGGUUUAAAAUAAUUAUCUCCUGCUGAAUAAGAGCGGCGUCCUGUAUUAGAGAAGACUUUAACAAAAUGGAAAUGCAGAAAGUGGGUUAUUAAACUCCAUUAAUAUCUGCCUAGAGCUUUGUACAGAACACUUCACAAAGAAAAAAAUAUGACAAGUGCUCCGUCGAGAAGCAUUAGUCUCGGUCUGAACUCACAGCGGGCGCUACGCGGCGGCGCGCCACGUCCUCUGGAUCCUUACCGCGCGCUCGUGGUGGAGUCUAAACAUAUUUGCAUAAAGUGAGCAAUCGAAACCUCGAGAAGCACAAAAGACCGCUGCGACGGGAAUGAAAAAUGGUCGGACGAUACACGGUAUGACCCAGCCUGCCAUAUGUCUCGCUAACGUUGACCCAGAUUCGGCGGCGGCGCUCGAUCGGUCAGUUUCGAACAUCAGCGGAGGGGAAUUUCAUGACCUGGAUUUACUAUCACGUCACUCAGCUGUGUGCACGUGUGACACGUAUCGAAACAGUCCGCGCUGGAUCAGGUGCUAUUCUACGGUACGUGCUGCCGAGUCAUGAGUGUGGAAGCCAUUUUGUUUCGAUGGAAUCAAUGAGAGAACUACAACUAGGACUAUUCAUGCAGUAUCACACGGGUGACAUCUUAUUUCAUGGCUAUUCCCCGUAACGCUUCUUCAGUCCUCGAUCACUUCAGGUGUAAAGGAGAACGCUCGUGUGAUCGGGCCGCUACUGAGAAACCCAGCCUCGUACGCUUCCACUCGAGCCACGCCUAGAAACGUCAGCUACACGCGGGUGAUUUUAAUAAUCCGAACGUGCAGCUCUUAAUCAGCGGUGUAACCCAACUCUGAACACCAGGAACUUCCCUCGCGUGAACAUCGAACUUUUUGGACCUGAUCACGACUCUGAAUACGGCCCUCGUUCAGGAGGAAAUACAGACCAGGUCCGGAGGUUUCUAGUGCUAACCCGUAGCUCGUCGUACUUCGGGUUAGAAUCACAUUAGCUAGCAUUGCAUCCUAGUUAAAGUUUCCGUGCAGCCGAAACAUAAAAACACGGCAGGUACGAUGAAUCUUUUAGUUUCCCGGAGCACUAGCUAAUUAAUCGAGCUACUAUGUAGCUAUGAAAUCAUUCAAUACAAGUUCAUCUACGAGUGGCUGGUUAGAAACUUUCUGCAUUUAUUCUUCCAAGACUAAACUUUUUCAAGCUAACGUUAAACCAGAGAUCUGUCUUUUUCACCAAGUACAAAUCUGCAGAUUUUACUCAUUUCCCUAAACAUAGCUACGUAGCUUAGCUUACCUUGUUUUAGAGUUUACGGUAGAUUUCCAGACAUUGUUCAGGGGUUUUUUUUUUUUUUUUUAAAGAAUUAUUUAUCUAUAAUACGAGGACGAUCGCGACAGCUACACGGCAAAGCGCGCGAUUCCGAAAUCCAUUUACAUAAAUUUAGCUUCCGUGCUGAUUUUGUCUUUUU
ensembl:lncRNA